rnacentral:rRNA from 1 species
AUUGAACGCUGGCGGCAGGCCUAACACAUGCAAGUCGAGCGGAUGAAGGGAGCUUGCUCCUGGAUUCAGCGGCGGACGGGUGAGUAAUGCCUAGGAAUCUGCCUGCAGUUGGGGAUAACGUCCGGAAACGGGCCCGAAUAUCGUAUACGUCCUUAGGGAGAAAGGGGGGGAUCAUCGGACCACAAGCGUUUAGCUGAGCCUAGGUCGGAUUAGCUAGUUGGUGGGGUAAAGGCCUACCAAGGCGACGAUCCGUAACUGGUCUGAGAGGAUGAUCAGUCACACUGGAACUGAGACACGGUCCAGACUCCUACGGGAGGCAGCAGUGGGGAAUAUUGGACAAUGGGCGAAAGCCUGAUCCAGCCAUGCCGCGUGUGUGAAGAAGGUCUUCGGAUUGUAAAGCACUUUAAGUUGGGAGGAAGGGCAGUAAGUUAAUACCUUGCUGUUUUGACGUUACCAACAGAAUAAGCACCGGCUAACUUCGUG